UCAAUCCAGUAAACAUGUGUUCGUAAGGAUAUAGCAUGGCAAGGCUCAAGAAAUGCUGUAAGAGAUGAAGAUGGUCCUAUAACCCAGAGGGCACUAUGGAAAACUUGGCAAAUUGAAACCUGGAAUUUAUUAUGACAUCACAUUAAAGCUAAUAAAAACAUAGCAACAAGACCUAUUAGGAGAAGGAAAAAUAGGACCUCCUGCCUGGGGUGAGGGCUUAGACCCACAAACAGAAAAACAGAAGGUUUGACAGGCUUGGGUCACACUGGGGUGUUGGAUAACACCCCAGGACUGGCCACGGAAUGCCCACAACUGAAAGCCACAGGUAUGAAGACCUCUGUAUUCCAAGUACCAAAUCUCGUUCCAUUGUCCCUCCUCAGCCUCCGGGCACCCUGGAGGGGAAAGGAAAUGGCCUUUGUGGGGAAGGCAGAGUUUAUAAAGAGGACUCGGCAAAUGACAAAGCAGAGUCUAAACAAUUGAAAGUGACCAUUUUGAUGACAAAAGUGACUGAGAAGUUAUGAAAUGCAUCUGAGCUAUUAUGAAGGAGACUGGCCCUCAGUGGGGAAAGAGGACUCCACAAGUCACUGUUAGUCACAGCGACCAGAGGAACAGACGACUUAGAGGACCUACCCUAAUGCAUUAAAUCUAGUCACAAUGAGUUUCACCACACUUCCUUCCUGAAGAUAAGGAGGCCUGCGUAGUGACUAACGCCCAAUAGAUAUUACACUUACACUAAAUAUCUACUCUACUAACUGUACCCAAACUAAAGCCUGCUUAAUAACAUCACUUGGAAGAUGGUAUCACUUCCACAAAUGGAAUUUACUUCAGUCAAGGUCCUGAGAAAUACCUCACAAUCUUACAUUCCAGAUAGGAGAAAAGUAAGUCCCCAGUGUUUUAUUUACUAUUGCUUGGGUCAAAGCCCAUUUAUUUCCCGAAGACGUGGAUGGCAAACAUGCAAACAUUUAAUUUUCAUAAUGAAGUAAAUCCUAGACAUUCUCAUUUUACAGAUGAGAAAACCAAGCACAGAGAGGUUAAUAACUCCAUCAACUUUUGUACCUCAGCU